AUUGAACGCUGGCGGCAGGCCUAACACAUGCAAGUCGAGCGAGCGGCGGACGGGUGAGUAAUGUCUGGGAAACUGCCUGAUGGAGGGGGAUAACUACUGGAAACCGUAGCUAAUACCGCAUACCAUCAGAUGUGCCCAGAUGGGAUUAGCUGGUAGGUGGGGUAACGGCUCACCUAGGCGACGAUCCCUAGCUGGUCUGAGAGGAUGAGCAGCCACACUGGAACGGAGACACGGUCCAGACUGCCACGGGAGCCAGCAGUGGGGAAAAUUGCACAAUGGGCGCAAGCCUGAGGAAGCCAUGCCGCGUGUGUGAAGAAGGCCUUCGGGUUGUAAAGUACUUUCAGCGGGGAGGCGUUACCCGCAGAAGAAGCACCGGCUAACUCCGUGCCAGCAGCCGCGGUAAUAC
rnacentral:rRNA from 1 species